UGCUAUAAGUGAAGCCGAAAAAAGUCAUGGAUUAGAUUGAGAAGUACCUCCUUCUCUCUAGAAACGUCGUUUCUAGGGUUUUAGCUCUCAACACUUUGUUGACCAGCGGUGAUCUCUCUUUUAUCCAUGGAAAUCUCUCUUUUGUUUAUGAUUCGUUGAGAGCUAAGGGUUCUGUUGUGGUAGAAACUGAUUGUAUCAGUUCUAAGAUUGUUAAUCUCUCGAAGGACAUCUCUGAGAAGGGUGUUAGUGCAGGGUCAAGGGUUUCGGCGGAAUCGAUUCAAGAAAUUUCGGAUCGAUUUAGCGACCUUGUUGCACAACUUCGUCCAGAUCCUCAUUCGACUUCGGUGGGUCCAAGUCUGAAAUGAUCGGAUCUGGUAAAUGGAGAAGAGAGCUCUAUGGUGUUGUUUCUCCCCGAAAUCUCAUGGUUGCACAAUCUAGUGGUGUUAGCAGAGAUGAUAAAAUGUUAGAACAGGGGUUGCAAGUCCAGGCUACCGAAGUUCAUACAAGCUUUGAGGGGAUAGGACCAAAUCCUGAUCUGAAGGAACAGGGCUCAGAUGUUAGUGAAGCUGCUCUAGAUACGGGGGAUCUGAACUCUAAUGUCACUAAUUAGAGGUUUCAGUAUGCUCGGGGUGGUUACCACGGUCAUGGUAGAGGCGUUGCAGCCAAUUUCAAGGGAGGUCGUGGAAUGAAUAGGGGCCAAGAUACCAGAACAUAGGCAAAUGUUACGGCAGCCCCAGUUCGAUUUGAGGUAAAGCUUCAAUACUUUCCUCCUAAACUAUCUCAAGAUAAAAUCAUUGUUGAAAUGCCCCCUGUCUCUCAACUCGCUAAAUGGGAGUCAAGUUUGGUAGGGUACUUUAUAGAUAAACGACUUCCGUAUACCCUCAUUAAGAAUAGUGCUUUUAAUAUGUGGAAAAACAAGGGGCUUCUGGAGGUUCAAAUGAAUGAUAAUGGUUUUGCUUUCUUCAUUUUCAAGAAUCAAGAUUGCUGUAGAAAUGUUCUGGAUGGAGGUCCCUGAUAUAUUGGGUGUUUCUUGCUUAUUCUUAAGUUCUGGCAUCGGAUGAUGAAAUUAUCUAAAGAAGACAAGAAGACCAUUCCUGUAUGGGUGAAGUUUUACAAUGUGCCGAUGGAAUAUUGAACUGGAGAGGGCCUGAGUAGAAUUGCAAGUGCUGUGGGAGUUCCCUUAUCAUGGAUCAACUAACUUCUUCAGGGGAGAGAAGUUCUUUUGCUAGAGCUUGUGUGAAUAUACAAGCUGAGUCUUCUUUUCCUGAGAGUUUUUUUAUAACUAGUGAAGGAGAAUCUGUUGAAAUUAGAAUGGAAUAUCAAGGUGUUCCGACUAUGUGCUCCCAUUGUUGUGUCUUUGGACAUGAAACUAAAAUCUGCCUAUCUGCCCGAGUGUCAAAACUGUCUGAAACUCAAGUAAGUACUGCAGACAACCCUAGCAAGGGAGAUGGCUGGACUACAAUAAAGGAUAAGGGUAAGAGGAAGGUUGGUGAACCCCGUCUUGCAAUUAGCCCUGUAUUACCAGUUAAAAUAUCCAGUUCAUCUGCUGAAGGAGGUACUGAAAUGAGGACUGUAACUGCUGAAGACUUUUCUAAUAAGGCUACAGCUCAAGUGGAGAUUGUCCUUUCUGCUGCACUGGACAUUGCGAAACUUAGCCACCCUGGAGCUGGAGAGAUCUUUCAAGGAGUGGAAAAAGCUGCGGUAUUAGGGGAACUAUCAACCGUAGUGCCCUUUAGCCAUAUGGAAAGAACCAAUGCAACUGGGAGUUCCACAAAGAAUAAAUCUUCUGGCAAAUCUGGCAGCCAGAAGAAGAAGAAGAGGUAACGUAACUCGCACACAUGGAGCUUUCAUCACUAAGCAUCACAGUUUGGUGGUUCUUCACACGACUUAAGAAUCAAUCAGCAUGCUGUUGAGGCAGCAAAGCAUAUAGGAAGCCUUAUGUUAGUAUUGGCAGUGUAAAACCAAUUACUAGUUGGACAUUUUGUUGUCAUGCUGAAUUCAGUGGAGUUGUAAAUGUACUGCACUUGCUCGUUGCUGCUAAAUUUGAGCUGCCAGUUCAUGUGGUUCAGCAAUUUUGAACUAACAGUACACUAGAAACAUUGUAUAUGGUAACACAUCUUAUAUUAUUCAAUUUGCAUAA